rnacentral:lncRNA from 1 species
AAUCAUGACAGGAAAUUUCAGUUCAGUGCUCUUGUGUUGUGCAAUUAAUAAUUGUUUGUGAAAUGAAUGAUCUAGUGAAGCCCAGUGUAAUAGCUGGCUAGAAGUGGAAGAGAUACAGUUCAGCUUAGAUCUUUAUGUUGGAUGUACUAAGGCAAUCUAAGUCAUCAAGAGAUGAUCACAGGCCUAGUGUACCCAAUAGCAGCAGCAGCAGAAAUUAAUUAAAUGAUGUAGAUUC